rnacentral:rRNA from 1 species
AUUGAACGCUGGCGGCAGGCCUAACACAUGCAAGUCGAGCGAGCGGCGGACGGGUGAAUAAUGUCUGAGAAACUGCCUGAUGUAGGGGGCUAACUACUGGAAACGGUAGCUAAUACCGCAUACCAUCAGAUGUGCUCUGGUGGGAUUAGCUAGUAGGUGGGGUAAUGGCUCACUUAGGCGACGAUCCCUAGCUGGCCUGAGAGGUGGCCCAGCAACACUGGAACUGAGACACGGUCCAGACGCCUACGGGAGGCAGCAGUGGGGAAUAUUGCGCAAUGGGCGCAAGCCUGAUGCAGCCACGCCGCGUGUAUGAAGAAGGCCUUCGGUUUGUAAAGUACUUUCAGCGGGGAGGCGUUACCCGCACAAGAAGCACCGGCUAACUCCGUGCCAGCAGCCGCGGUAAUUC